AGUUCAUCUGAGUGCAGUGGUAUUUAGAACUAAUUGAUCACAACCAGUUACAGAUUCCUUUGUUCUUCUCCACUCCCACUGCUUCACUUGACCAGCCUUUA
rnacentral:Y_RNA from 1 species